GUGAGCAAUGUAAAGGGACCGAACAGCUGCUCCGUCAGCCCAUACCAGGGACAAGGAACUGGUGCUGGGGCUGGCAAGAUGCUAACUCUGGGAGCAUGGCACUUUAACCCCUUCACUGUCACAGGUGGCCGGGUACCAGGUUACAGUGGCAGUACAGAUCCCAGUUACAAUAAGCAAAUCCCACUGGAAGCCCAGUCACAGAGAUCCAUCGGUGCAGUAUUAUGAAACUGAAUAGUCAAAAAUUAAACAAACAAAGAGGACAUUGCUGAAUUUGCUGUGUAGGAUGCCAGGUCCACCAUGCUUCCAUGCACACAGAUCAUAUAUACAUAUCUAAUGUCAGCUCAUAAAGGUUCUGCCCUAAUGUACGCAGCAUUCCAAUGCUGCAGAAGGGAAUUCCUCCAUCAACACCCAUCAACAUUAAAAAGUAUUCUAGAUCCAGA